rnacentral:lncRNA from 1 species
CUUAUCUGCUGCCCUACAUUCUACAAUUCCCAUGUAAUUAGUUUACAGUCACAUGACUAUUUCUGGCCAAUGAACUGUGAACAAUAAUAUGUAAUGUGUAUCACUUCUAGGUCAAGACAGUUAAGUGUACGUGUUCUCCUUUCAUUCUUCCUUUCUCCUUGCUGCAGUGACUUUGGGAGCUGUAUGCUGAAAUAGGGACAUUGAAAGAUGAGGAAAUUAUGGAUCUCCAAGUCACUAGAUGGAAGAGAGCACGUCAAAAACUUUAUAAGGAAGAAACGUGGAAUAAAAUGUUGGGAAAUGUGAAGAGAGAUGUUUCAGCAAGUAGAUCUCUUUUGGGCAAAUUGAAAGCAGUGGCAUCACCCUGAGGCAAUCAGCAUCCCAAUUCAUCAGGAUGCUGGGAUGAAAGCUCUGUAGAUCCUGAAUUUGCCCAACAACCUGCUGAAUGCUUUUCCGAAUUGUCCCUAUCAAUCGGGCACAGAUCAUCUAUUUAAACAUACGAAAUGGCUUGACACUAAUAGCAUUUCUUCCAUUUUGGAAAAAAAAAAUAAGGACUGAUAUCCACAGAAGUAAAAAAACAAAAACUUCAGGAAAACAUCAUUAUAUAAGGGGGUGGUAUGUACCUUGAUAACAUAAAACGAUUUUACGUAAGAGAAUCUACCAACUGAACUCAUUUGUUUGGGUAUAAUAAAGAUAUAUAUCCUUAUAAUUG